CACGUAGUUAGCCGGGGCUUCUUUUGGAGGUACCGUCAAUUUCUUCCCUCCUGAAAGGGGUUUACAACCCGAAGGCCUUCAUCCCCCACGCGGCGUUGCUGCGUCAGGCUUUCGCCCAUUGCGCAAGAUUCCCUG
rnacentral:rRNA from 1 species